CCUCCACAUGGUGAAGAGCCUGGUUCAGAACCAUUACCUGUACCUCGGCUCGUACGUACGUAUCCCGGUGUCCAGCGUCGUGUACUGCAUCCUGGAGCCGCUGGUCGCCUCCAUCUCCCUCAACGACCACCGGAUCCUUAGGGAGUACGCAGCUCUGCGGGUCAGCCACAUGUUCUGGACCCAUGGAGCCCUGGUCAGUGGUCUGUACCACCAGAUUCUGCUGUCUCUGCAGAAGGUUCUGUCAGACCCGGUCCGCCCGCUGUGUUCUCACUAUGGAGCUGUAGGGGGCUACAUGCACUUAGAGGAAAUGUAUCCACCUUCCAUCCAUCUUGAUUAUUUAUGUAUGAAAAUAGAAUUUCUUUCAUUUAGAGAUCCUUGGCUUUGCUGAUCACUGUGUGUGUUGUCUGUCUUUGUAGGCUGUUGAGAGAGUCAUAUGUCCUUACCUGCAAUCUGUCCUGGAUGACUACUCUGUCUCCAAUGCCCAGGUGAAAGCAGACYGACACAAGGUCUAUGGAGCAAUCCUGGUGGCAGUGGAGCACCUGCUAAAGAUUAGAGCCCUGUCUCUGUCCCUGCCAGCAGAGGCAGCACCCAGCCACGCUUCGGGAGUGUGAUUUCCGCCGGGCUCAGCCUCUCUCCGAGGCCACCCUGGGCAUCGCCAGUCACCUGCAGGGACCUGGGGGAGCUGGCACCCCCUGGAAUGACUGGACCCCAWCCACCUGCCCGCCAUGUACUGUGAGCUCUACUCCUCCUUUGGAAAACAACUUGGCAGUGCGUUUCAGCACGGACCCCGACUUGGGAGGUUGCCUUCCCCUUCCCAGCCCCCUGAUACGCCAAUCCAGACACCACGUACAAGAUGCCCCAGCUCACCGCUAACCUCAAAAUCAACCCCRGGCAGGACGGGAGCCCUUGCACCGAGCCCUCUCCACCCAUCCUAGCUGCCACUGCUCCGGGAACACAA